GACACUGUGGCGGAGUGGUUAACGCGUUGGACUCGAAUCAUCGAUUGUCAUCCAAUCUCUUCGGAGGCGCAGGUUCAAAUCCUGCCGGUGUCG